rnacentral:misc_RNA from 1 species
UCCGGUUUGGCACCGGCAGUCCCCCCAGAGUCCCCGGCAUAACCCGCUGGCAACUGGGGGCGGGGGUUGCGCUCGUUGCGGGACUUAACCCAACAUCUCACGACACGAGCUGACGACAGCCAUGCAGCACCUGUGCUGGGGUCCCGAAGGAGGCCCCUGGUUUCUCAGGGGUUUCCCCAGCAUGUCAAGCCCGGGUAAGGUUCUUCGCGUUGCGUCGAAUUAAACCACAUGCUCCACCGCUUGUGCGGGCCCCCGCCAAUUCCUUUGAGUUUCAACCUUGCGGCCGUAGUCCCUAGGCGGUUCACUUAAUGCGUUAGCUGCGGCACCGAGGGGAACCCCCGACACCUAGUGAACAUCGUUUAUGGCCAAGACUAC